GGAUUGUGGCUCAGCGGUAGAGCGCUCGCCUCGCAAGUCUGAGGCCCUGGGUUCGAUCCUCAGCACCA
rfam:Ictidomys tridecemlineatus contig008758, whole genome shotgun sequence.